rnacentral:rRNA from 1 species
GACGAACGCUGGCGGCGUGCCUAAUACAUGCAAGUUGAGCGCUGAAGGUUGGUACUUGUACCGACUGGAUGAGCAGCGAACGGGUGAGUAACGCGUGGGGAAUCUGCCUUUGAGCGGGGGACAACAUUUGGAAACGAAUGCUAAUACCGCAUAAAAACUUUAAACACAAGUUUGAAGUUUGAAAGAUGCAAUUGCAUCACUCAAAGAUGAUCCCGCGUUGUAUUAGCUAGUUGGUGAGGUAAAGGCUCACCAAGGCGAUGAUACAUAGCCGACCUGAGAGGGUGGUCGGCCACAUUGGGACUGAGACACGGCCCAAACUCCUACGGGAGGCAGCAGUAGGGAAUCUUCGGCAAUAGACGAAAGUCUGACCGAGCAACGCCGCGUGAGUGAAGAAGGUUUUCGGAUCGUAAAACUCUGUUGGUAGAGAAGAACGUUGGUGAGAGUGGAAAGCUCAUCAAGUGACGGUAACUACCCAGAAAGGGACGGCUAACUACGUG